UUUUAACGAGAGUUUGAUCCUGGCUCAGGAUGAACGCUGGCGGCGUGCUUAACACAUGCAAGUCGAACGAAGCAC
rnacentral:rRNA from 3 species